rnacentral:lncRNA from 1 species
UUAGAUCUACGGGUAUGAGUUUAACGCAAGUAAGGCUUUCUAAGUAGACCUUCAAGAAAAAGAAUUUUUGUUUAAACAGUUAACAAAGAAGUCUUCUGUUUAGAUCGAUUUCACUGAUAGAUCAGGACCAAUCGAGUGAUCCUUUGUUUCAGAUUUCAGUCUGAUUUGUUUUUAAACAAAAAUUUUUACAAAAUCUUAG